rnacentral:rRNA from 1 species
CGGAGGAUCCAAGCGUUAUCCGGAUUUAUUGGGUUUAAAGGGUGCGUAGGUGGAUUGAUAAGUCAGCGGUGAAAGUUUGCAGCUUAACUGUAAAAUUGCCGUUGAAACUGUCAGUCUUGAGUGCAAAUGAGGUAGGCGGAAUGUGUUGUGUAGCGGUGAAAUGCUUAGAUAUAACACAGAACUCCGAUUGCGAAGGCAGCUUACUGGGAUGCAACUGACACUGAUGCACGAAAGCGUGGGGAUCAAACAGGAUU